UACGUAGGGUGCGAGCGUUAAUCGGAAUUACUGGGCGUAAAGGGCUCGUAGGUGGCCAACUAAGUCAGACGUGAAAUCCCCAGGCUCAACCUGGGAACUGCGUCUGAUACUGGAUGGCUUGAAUUCGGGAGAGGGAUGCAGAAUUCCACGUGUAGCGGUGAAGUGCGUAGAGAUGUGGAGGAACACCAGUGGCGAAGGCGACUCUUUGGCCUGUAACUGACGCUGAGGCGCGAAAGCUAGGGGAGCAAACAGG
rnacentral:rRNA from 1 species